rnacentral:tRNA from 1 species
GCGCGCGUAGCACAAUUGGUUAGUGCACCGAGCUUAUACCUCGGCGGUUCCUGGUUCGAGUCCAGGCGCGCGCACAA